rnacentral:rRNA from 1 species
CACGUAGGCGGAUUGUUAAGUUAGGGGUGAAAUCCCAGGGCUCAACCCUGGAACUGCCUUUAAUACUGGCAAUCUCGAGCCCGAGAGAGGUGAGUGGAAUUCCGAGUGUAGAGGUGAAAUUCGUAGAUAUUCGGAGGAACACCAGUGGCGAAGGCGGCUCACUGGCUCGGUACUGACGCUGAGGUGCGAAAGCGUGGGGAGCAAACA